CCAGUGACUCUGUUCAACGGCCGCGGUAUCCUAACCGUGCGAAGGUAGCGUAAUCACUUGUUCUUUAAAUGAGGACUAGUAUGAAUGGCACCACGAAGGUUAUACUGUCUCCUUUCUUUAAUCAGUGAAACUAAUCUCUCCGUGAAGAAGCGGGGAUAUAAUUAUAAGACGAGAAGACCCUAUGGAGCUUUAAACGUGAGUAACAAUUGCCCGCCAUAAUACUUUUCCCCGGAAAUUAAUCACAAUACUUAGGCAUCUUGAUUACAAGUUUUAGGUUGGGGUGACCGCGGAGCAGAGAAUAACCUCCGCAGUGAAUGGAACUUAUUUCCUAAACCCAGGGCUACGACCCUAAGCAUCAAUAAAUUGACACUAAUUGACCCAAUAUUUUGAUCAAUGAACCAAGUUACCCUAGGGAUAACAGCGCAAUCCACUUCAAGAGCCCCUAUCGACAAGUGGGUUUACGACCUCGAUGUUGGAUCAGGGUAUCCCAGUGGUGCAGCCGCUACUAAAGGUUCGUUUGUUCAACGA
rnacentral:rRNA from 1 species